UGAGGAAUAUUGGUCAAUGGACGCAAGUCUGAACCAGCCAAGUAGCGUGCAGGAUGACGGCCCUAUGGGUUGUAAACUGCUUUUAUAUGGGGAUAAAGUGGGGAACGUGUUCCCUUUUGCAGGUACCAUAUGAAUAAGGACCGGCUAAUUCCGUGCCAGCAGCCGCGGUAAUACGGAAGGUUCGGGCGUUAUCCGGAUUGAUUGGGUUUAAAGGGAGCGUAGGCCGUUUGGUAAGCGUGUUGUGAAAUGUAGGAGCUCAACUUCUAGAUUGCAGCGCGAACUGUCAGACUUGAGUGCGCACAACGUAGGCGGAAUUCAUGGUGUAGCGGUGAAAUGCUUAGAUAUCAUGAAGAACUCCGAUUGCGAAGGCAGCUUACGGGAGCGCAACUGACGCUGAAGCUCGAAGGUGCGGGUAUCGAACAGG
rnacentral:rRNA from 1 species